AGCUUGCUAGUAAUGGGUCAUUGCAUCUGGCUGUUGACCAGAAUGUUGGUGGUUCAAGCCCACCCAGGGCUG